UAAAAACAAUUUAUAAACAGCAAUUCAUUCCUUGUAACACACAUUUCAAAAGACAUCUUCUUCAAGUAGGUAAGGC
rfam:Erinaceus europaeus unplaced genomic scaffold scaffold00775, whole genome shotgun sequence